UCUGGUGACCUACCUUUAAAUCAGGCUGGUCCCGUGGGUGGCCCUUCCGAUGGUGCUCCUCCAGGACAUGUUUCUUCUACUGCACAAAAUUUUAACCAGCAUUUACAGCAACUACCACCAGUUAGCCAGCAAAUCUCUCCAUUGCAGAAACCCCUCCAGUCUCCCCAGCAUUUGCCUCCUCUUCAACUACACCCUCAAGUUACAUCUUAUUCACAGACACAAACAUCCCAUGCUGGUCAUGCUCCACCUACUGCNNNCACUCAAGCACCACCAUCACAGCAGUAUCUUGGUAUGAGUGGACAGUUGUCUGCUUCUCAACCUCAGCUGCAGCAGGGCGCCUCAGCUGGUACACCAUUACAAGCACCUUUGAAUAUCAACCUACAAUCCCAUUCUGGGUCUGCUGGGACAAAUCAACAACAGAUUCCUGCUCCUGUCCAGCCGCAAAUGCUUCAGCCCCUUCAUCAGUCCCCUUCUCAAUUAGCUCAGAUGCUGUCACAACAGACACAAACUCUGCAAGCGACCUUUCAGUCAUCCCAGCAGGCAUUCUCACAGCUGCAACAACAAUUGCAGAUGAUGCAGCCAUCAAAUCAAGGUUUAACAUUGCAGCAGAGCCCUCAGCCUACUAAACAGCAGUGGCCUGGGAUUCCACCACAAACAGUUGCAAGUACGCCACUUGCUACACUGGCUGCAGAUAUACCUCCAUCUACUUCUGCCCCUGUUGCACCUGUAAUAGCUCAGCCAGUGGCUCCUGUAA
rnacentral:misc_RNA from 1 species